rnacentral:rRNA from 1 species
UACGUAGGGUGCGAGCGUUGUCCGGAAUCAUUGGGCGUAAAGAGCUCGUAGGCGGUUGGGCAAGUCACGUGUGAAAUCUCCACGCUCAACGUGGAGGCGCCACGUGAGACUGCCCUGACUCGAGUCCGGUAGGGGAGCGUGGAAUUCCCGGUGUAGCGGUGAAAUGCGCAGAGAUCGGGAGGAACACCCGUAGCGAAGGCGGCGCUCUGGGCCGGUACUGACGCUGAGGAGCGAAAGCGUGGGGAGCAAACAGG